rnacentral:rRNA from 1 species
GACGUAGGAGGCGAGCGUUAUCCGGAUUCACUGGGCGUAAAGCGCAUGUAGGCGGUUGUGUAAGUCCGAUGUUAAAGCCCCUGGCUCAACUGGGGGAGGUCAUUGGAGACUACUCGACUUGAGGGCAACAGAGGCACGUGGAACUCCCGGUGUAGCGGUGGAAUGCGUAGAGAUCGGGAAGAACACCGGUGGCGAAGGCGGCGACCUGGGUAGAUACUGACGCUGAGGUGCGAAAGCGUGGGGAGCAAACAGG